rnacentral:misc_RNA from 1 species
AACGCACAUUGCGCCCUUUGGUAUUCCUUAGGGCAUGCCUGUUCGAGCGUCAUUUAAACCUUCAAGCUCAGCUUGGUGAUGGGUGACUGUCCUCCCCUCCCGGGUGGACUCGCCUCAAAAACAUUGGCGGCCGGUACAUUGGCUUCGAGCGCAGCAGAAACGCGGUCUCGAGCCCGGUGGAUCGGCUCCCAUAAGCCUAUUCUUUUAUUUUGACCUCGGAUCAGGUAGGGAUACCCGCUGAACUUAA